rnacentral:rRNA from 1 species
AAUGAACGUUGGCGGCGUGGAUUAGGCAUGCAAGUCGAGCGAGAACCCUCCGCAAGGAGGGGGACAGCGGCGAAAGGGAGAGUAACGCGUGGAUUAUUUGCCCCCGGGACCGGGAUAGCCGCGGGAAACUGCGGGUAAUACCGGAUGACGUCUCCGGACCAAAUGGUGUGAUUCCGCCAGGGGAUAAGUCCGCGUCCUAUUAGCUAGUUGGUGGGGUAAUGGCCUACCAAGGCAAUGAUGGGUACUGGGUGUGAGAGCACGACCCAGCUCACUGGGACUGAGACACUGCCCAGACACCUACGGGUGGCUGCAGUCGAGGAUCUUCGGCAAUGGGCGCAAGCCUGACCGAGCGACGCCGCGUGUGGGAUGAAGGCCUUCGGGUUGUAAACCGCUGUCAGUGGGGAGGAAAUGUCUAGGGGUUCUCCCCUUGAUUUGACCUAUCCGCAGAGGAAGUCAGGGCUAAGUUCGUGCCAGCAGCCGCAGUAAAAC